rnacentral:rRNA from 1 species
GAUGAACGCUGGCGGCGUGCCUAAUACAUGCAAGUCGAGCGAACGGACGAGAAGCUUGCUUCUCUGAUGUUAGCGGCGGACGGGUGAGUAACACGUGGAUAACCUACCUAUAAGACUGGGAUAACUUCGGGAAACCGGAGCUAAUACCGGAUAAUAUUUUGAACCGCAUGGUUCAAAAGUGAAAGACGGUCUUGCUGUCACUUAUAGAUGGAUCCGCGCUGCAUUAGCUAGUUGGUAAGGUAACGGCUUACCAAGGCAACGAUGCAUAGCCGACCUGAGAGGGUGAUCGGCCACACUGGAACUGAGACACGGUCCAGACUCCUACGGGAGGACGCACUAGGGAAUCUUCCGCAAUGGGCGAAAGCCUGACGGAGCAACGCCGCGUGAGUGAUGAAGGUCUUCGGAUCGUAAAACUCUGUUAUUAGGGAAGAACAUAUGUGUAAGUAACUGUGCACAUCUUGACGGUACCUAAUCAGAAAGCCACGGCUAACUACGUG